AUUGAACGCUGGCGGAAUGCUUUACACAUGCAAGUCGAACGGUAGAGGGGACAACCCCUCGAGAGUGGCGAACGGGUGAGUAAUAUAUCGGAACGUGCCCAGUCGUGGGGGAUAACGUAGUGAAAAUUACGCUAAUACCGCAUACGAUCUAAGGAUGAAAGCGGGGGAUCGCAAGACCUCGCGCGAUUGGAGCGGCCGAUAUCAGAUUAGGUAGUUGGUAGGGUAAAGGCCUACCAAGCCAACGAUCUGUAGCUGGUCUGAGAGGACGACCAGCCACACUGGAACUGAGACACGGUCCAGACUCCUACGGGAGGCAGCAGUGGGGAAUUUUGGACAAUGGGCGAAAGCCUGAUCCAGCCAUUCCGCGUGCAGGAUGAAGGCCCUCGGGUUGUAAACUGCUUUUGUACAGAACGAAAAGGUCUCUAUUAAUACUAGGGGCUCAUGACGGUACUGUAAGAAUAAGCACCGGCUAACUACGUGCCAGCCGCCGCAGUAA
rnacentral:rRNA from 1 species